rnacentral:tRNA from 1 species
UCUAAGGAUGAAUGAAAGUAAAAUUUCAUUCUAAAUAAUAUACAUCGGUAAUGUUGACCGUCCUCAUUUCUCUUCUUAAAGUAGUGUUUCUCUUGCAUGGGGGCCGGUAGCUCAGUUGGUUAGAGCACACCCUUGAUAAGGGUGGGGUCGAAAGUUCGAGUCUUUCUCGGCCCACCAAUAUAAGAUCAUGGGGGAUUAGCUCAGCUGGGAGAGCGCCUGAUUUGCAUUCAGGAGGUCAGCGGUUCGAUCCCGCUAUCCUCCACCAAAAACACUUAGCUAUACAGAUCGUAAAUAAUUUAAUAAUUAAUAUCAAUAUCUAUAUCCGAACAUUAGUAAUGUUAUUAGCUAAUGUUCAAAAUAAAAAUUUGAUUCAACACAGAAUUUUUUUCUG